rnacentral:rRNA from 1 species
AAAUGAAUUGACGGGAGCCCGCACAAGCAGUGGAGUAUGUUGUUUAAUUCGAUGCAACGCGAAGAACCUUACCAGGUCUUGACAUCCGCGGAACUCGGCGUAAUGGCUGGGGCGCCCUUUAUUGGGAGCCGCGAGACAGGUAGUGCAUGGUUGUCGUCAGCUCGUGUCGUGAGAUGUUGGGUUAAGUCCCGCAACGAGCGCAACCCUUGCGGAUAGUUGCUAGUCGGGGUAACACUUGGCGGCGCUCUAUUCGGACUGCCGUUGACAAAACGGAGGAAGGCGGGGAUGAGGUCAAAUCAUCAUGCUCUUUAUGAUCUGGGCUACAAACGUACUACAAUGGCGCGAACAGAGGGGCGCGAUGGGGCGACUCGGAGCGAAUCCUAAAAACGCGUCUCAGUUCGGAUUGCAGGCUGCAACUCGCCUGCAUGAAGUUGGAAUUGCUAGUAAUCGCGGAUCAGCAUGCCGCGGUGAAUACGUUCCCGGGCUUUGUACACACCGCCCGU